AACACUGAGCUGCCUGGCGCCGUCUUGAUAGUUUCAGAAAGAAUGCAUUCCCUGUAAAAAAAAAAUACUGAGAGAGGGAGAGGAGAAAGAGAGAGAGACUGAGAGAGCGAGACAUAGAGAGCUACGCAAUCUGACCGGGCAGGUCACACGCCUCCUCCUCCUCCUCUACGCUCCUUGCUACUCAGGUUGGUAUUGUGACUUGUGACUUUUUUUUUUUUUUUAAGUUUGAUAUCACUCCCUCCUCUUGGAGGGACUGUUUGUGUGUGUGUGUUUGGGGGUUUGUUUGUUUGGUUUUUUGUAAACUAAAAGCUCAGCUUUCUCCUUUUGGAGGAUUUGUAGUGGUUGGAAAGAUCCUGGGGCCGGUGUCCUCCAGGGAGGACUUGUCCCCAAGUUUUAAUUGCUUAGUCAGUCCUGGGCUCCUGCGAGCCUGGCUGUCGGAGGUGUGCUGCGGAGCUUGGCUUCUUUCCCUCCGGGUCUUCGCGUGCGUGUGCACGUCCCGGGUGAGUCGGCCCUGCAGGAAGCUUGCGAAGACCUAGUGCCCUCCAGAAUUUCAGGUGUUAAAAGUUCUUACACCUCAUUCAGGUCUCUCUUUCUCUCCCUUGCAGGUGAUCGGAAGAGCAACCGUCUCUGAGCGCCAAGGAAUCAGUGUGCAGUGUGGUCACACUCGGAUUCCUCUCUCCCUCCUUUUUUUUUUUUUUUUUUUGACCCCUUUAUUCCUCCGUGUCUGCUUUUUUUUUGGGGGGGGGGAUCGCCCUCAUUCUUUUCUUUUUCUUCUUUCCCUUCCUUUCUUUUGCUAAACUAUCCCGCAAAGAUUUUUCUUUCCUCCCUAAACCCUCCUUUUUGCUCUCCUUUUCUAUACCCUUAACUGCAAACAAACCAUUAAACGACCCCUCUCCUGGGCCUCCGACGGCAGGAGUCCGCGGACCUCCCAGGCCGACAGCCCUCCCUCUACCCGCGAGGGUUCCGGGCCGGGCGAGAGGGCGCGAGCACAGCCGAGGACAUGGAGGUGACUGCGGACCAGCCGCGCUGGGUGAGCCACCAUCACCCCGCGGUCCUCAACGGUCAGCACCCAGACACGCACCACCCGGGCCUCGGCCAUUCGUACAUGGAAGCUCAGUAUCCGCUGACGGAAGAGGUGGACGUACUUUUUAACAUCGAUGGUCAAGGCAACCACGUCCCGUCCUACUACGGAAACUCCGUCAGGGCUACGGUGCAGAGGUAUCCUCCGACCCACCACGGUGAGUCCACCUUGGCGCUGGAACCUUUUGGAUCCGCGUUUGUUUUCCUGGGUCCACGAGACCGCCAGAGACCCUGGCUGGGCAGAGCAAGCCAAAGCUCCUAAGUGUGUUACUAGUUCAUUUAAAAAAAGUAUCGGGGGCCCGGAAAUGGGCGAGGAAGCAGUGUCGCUGGUUGGGAGAGUUCUUCUUUUUUUCUUUUUUAAAUAAAAGAGCGCACGUAGCAGGCACCUCUCUUUGCCGGUGUCCUUGGGGCCAGGCACACUCACCUGGCAAGCGCCGAAAUGCAGUCCUGGUCCACACGAGGUUGUAGAUUUUGCAGCCAGGGAGAAAUCUCAAGCGCUGCCUGCAGGCGCCGAGCCUUUCAGGCCGGGCAGCAGUGCGGGCCAGGCCGGCCUGGAACUGGGCUCCCCCGAAGGACUUCCAGCUUCUUGUUAGCCGGUGAAGGGGUCUUUCGCCAGAGCCUUGCGUUUUGUUUCUCCAUUUAUAUUUUCAGAAAAGGCCCAAAUACGUGCAUUUCUUUCUAUUUCCUUUUGCUCUCCACCCUCAAAAGCUAGUGCAUUUGAGUUUUAGGCGUCCUACCUACCGGUGGUGUGAGGAAGAGACUCUGGUGGUUGCCACGGUCCAGGGAGAGGAAAGCCUUAAGCUGAAGAGAAGUCGGGUUUGCUUAGACUCCCGGCUACACAGAAUUUUCCUACGUCUUUGCUUUUAGUUUACUUACCAGCAAUCCUGGCCGACUUUUCUCCUCCGGCCUACUGGAGUUUCUUCAGGCUCCUCAAAGAUUUAGGCUACAUCAAAGUUUCUUUUUAAGUAGGAGUGUUUCCAGUUGCCGCCUCCCCCUAACCAUUCACCUUGAAAAAUUUAGGGGAGUUCUGAGGUGUGUAAAGAAGAGAAAAAGAAAGAAACCCAACCUUGUGUGGUCGAGACAGGAGACUCUUAACACUCCCCAGAUGUAUGUUUAUGCACCUAAACCAGCAAAAAUACAUUGUUUGUUUUUUUUUUUUUUUAUUUUAAGGAAAGAAGGUGGGAGGUUUUUCUUAGCUAGCUCAGACCUGAGAUCUGCUCAGGUCUCCCUUCUCAGAGUUAGCCUUGGCGCCUAUGACAUAGCCCCUUUGGCCAGCAGGCAUCCUCUACCCUAGAGCCGCCAGGUUUCAAACAGACAUUUCAAACAGACAUUUCUGCGGAUGGGGCGCUCUUUGCUUGGGUUGUGUGCAGAUUAGCAGUUAAGUGGAAAUGAGGUAGAUCAGACCUAAUGUUAUUUACUAUACAACUUCCUGC
rnacentral:lncRNA from 1 species